AAAAGUAUAGUACCUGCAAUAAUAUAAUAUGGAAGCAGCAUCACAUGAGGAAGUCAUAUGAAAAUUUCAUUUCAGCUUUGUUAUCAGUUUUGGACAAUUACAUCUCCAUGAUCUCCAAGGCAGAUAAUCUUGCAAGAAUUCCAAGGCAGAUAAUCUUGCAAGGUAUUCCAAAUAGAGGGCAUAAUCUUGCAAGAGGCAGAUAAUCUUGCAAGAAUUCCAAGGCAGAUAAUCUUGCAAGGUAUUCCAAAUAGAGGGCAUAAUUCUCCACCUUGAGCGGAUUGUGGAACACGAUCCACUUUCAUAUCACCAGUAGUCAGAGCAAGAGCAGCUGCCAUCUGUGAAGUGGUGAAAGCGAAAAGCAUCCCUCAGUAUGAUUUUCCGAC
rnacentral:lncRNA from 1 species